UACGUAGGGGGCAAGCGUUGUCCGGAUUUAUUGGGCGUAAAGAGCGUGUAGGCGGCCAUUCAGGUCAGCUGUGAAAACUCGAGGCUCAACCUCGAGACGUCGGUUGAAACCGUUUGGCUAGAGUCCGGAAGAGGAGAGUGGAAUUCCCGGUGUAGCGGUGAAAUGCGCAGAUAUCAGGAGGAACACCAAUGGCGAAGGCAGAUCUCUGGGCCGUAACUGACGCUGAGGAGCGAAAGCAUGGGGAGCGAACAGG
rnacentral:rRNA from 1 species